AGAAGAUCGGAGGUAAUUGAAUGCCCGGAAACUCCACCGGAGCCAGACAGACCACGGAGGAGUUUCCCGGAUGAUAUACAAACCUAUUUUGAUUGCCAAGAACCAAGUAGCUUCAUUGAGGAGCAUGAUAUUAUUUUUGGUGACUUGGAUUCUUUAACAUUGCCAAUGUUUCAGUGUGAGCUUAUUAAUUAAUAACUAUAGAAGAAUAUCUGUGAAUAGAA
rnacentral:misc_RNA from 1 species